rnacentral:rRNA from 1 species
UGCCAGCCGCCGCGGUAAUACGUACCGGACGAACGUUAUUCGGAUUUACUGGGCUUAAAGAGUACGUAGGCGGUCCUUCAGGUGGGGUGUGAAAGCCCUCGGCUCAACCGAGGAAGUGCAGUCGAAACUAUCAGACUUGAAUAUCGAAGAGGGUGGCGGAAUGCGCAGUGUAGAGGUGAAAUUCGUAGAUAUUGCGUAGAACACCAGUGGCGAAGGCGGCCACCUGGGAGAAUAUUGACGCUGAGACGCGAAAGCGUGGGGAGCAAACAGGAUUAGAUA